UGGGGAAUAUUGGACAAUGGGCGCAAGCCUGAUCCAGCCAUGCCGCGUGUGUGAAGAAGGUCUUCGGAUUGUAAAGCACUUUAAGUUGGGAGGAAGGGCAGUUACCUAAUACGUGAUUGUUUUGACGUUACCGACAGAAUAAGCACCGGCUAACUCUGCGCCAGCAGCCGCGGUAAUACAGAGGGUGCAAGCGUUAAUCGGAAUUACUGGGCGUAAAGCGCGCGUAGGUGGUUAGUUAAGUUGGAUGUGAAAUCCCCGGGCUCAACCUGGGAACUGCAUUCAAAACUGACUGACUAGAGUAUGGUAGAGGGUGGUGGAAUUUCCUGUGUAGCGGUGAAAUGCGUAGAUAUAGGAAGGAACACCAGUGGCGAAGGCGACCACCUGGACUGAUACUGACACUGAGGUGCGAAAGCGUGGGGAGCAAACAGGAUUAGAUACCCCUGUAGUCCCUGAGCGGGCUGGCAAGGCGCAU
rnacentral:rRNA from 1 species